ACUAUUUGAGGUGGUAAAUUUCGCUGCAACUACACACCCUACGGAUUAAAAAGAGAUGCAGGAGCCGCGGCACCUGCCAAAUACU
rnacentral:ncRNA from 12 species